rnacentral:rRNA from 1 species
GACGAACGCUGGCGGCGUGCUUAACACAUGCAAGUCGAACGGAAAGGCCCUGCUUUUGUGGGGUGCUCGAGUGGCGAACGGGUGAGUAACACGAGAGUAACCUGCCCUUGACUUUGGGAUAACUUCAGGAAACUGGGGCUAAUACCGGAUAGGAGCUCCUGCUGCAUGGUGGGGGUUGGAAAGUUUCGGCGGUUGGGGAUGGACUCGCGGCUUAUCAGCUUGUUGGUGGGGUAGUGGCUUACCAAGGCUUUGACGGGUAGCCGGCCUGAGAGGGUGACCGGCCACAUUGGGACUGAGAUACGGCCCAGACUCCUACGGGAGGCAGCAGUGGGGAAUAUUGCACAAUGGGCGGAAGCCUGAUGCAGCAACGCCGCGUGCGGGAUGACGGCCUUCGGGCUGUAAACCGCUUUCGCCUGUGACGAAGCGUGAGUGACGGUAAUGGGUAAAGAAGCACCGGCUAACUACGUG